GCUGCACCCGCGUGUUUAAAAAUGUUUACACCCGAAACUCCACUACGUCCACAGAAGCAAAAACGUUUGCAAAUGUACAGACGUGAGUAGGAAGAGUGGAACCCCUGGCAGUGGGUAAAAGGCAAACUGUUCUGUGUUGGUCAUUGACUGGCUGAAGUAAGGCAGCAUCAGGAGACCAACAUGUAAGAAACAUGAGAACAGAGAGAACCCAACCAGCAGGUCACAGUUUAUCAUCAUCUAAUCAUCUCCUGAAGUCCAUAUGAACCUUUAAAAAGAUGUUCCAGCCCAAGGGGACUCUUUUGGCUGCAACACCUGUGGUGACAACAGAGAGGCCUCUCCAGGAUUUUCACCCAAUGCUACUGAGAGAAGCACAUGGCAGCACAUGCCAGCAUCAAAACCGCACUCAAUAAAUCAAUAAAACAGUCAUUGUCUUGUGUUUCAUGUUGUGAGUAUGAACUCC